rnacentral:lncRNA from 10 species
AAAAGAGAAUUAACAGCAUAGAAAUUAUGCCUAAAAGCCAGGUAUUUAUAUACCAGGAGGUUCCUGAAAGGAUGGGAAGGACCACGAAAAGAGCUCUUGAAUACAGGUUUCUCUUACUGAUAACUCUGGAUUGAGUUGUUUCCAUUAAAUCAACAAUAUUAAAUGUCUUGGGGUGGAGCCAAGAUGGCCAAAUAAGAACAGCUCCAGUCUACAACUCCCAGCAUGAGCGACGCAGAAGACGGGUGAUUUCUGCAUUU